rnacentral:sRNA from 1 species
UGCUGCCCAGCAAUGGGAUGUGCUCGUCCGGAUGUGCGUCCCUUCUCUAUUCCACCCCAUUGUGAACCAAGUGUGCAAGCUGAAGAGAGAUUGGAAGCUUGCAUGCAACCCUUAACAUACCCCAAUGAAGUAUCAGAAUGUACCUUGCGUUAACUCGCACAAAUACAACUUUCAACAACGGAUCUCUUGGCUCUCGCAUCGAUGAAGAACGCAGCGAAAUGCGAUAAGUAAUGUGAAUUGCAGAAUUCAGUGAAUCAUCGAAUCUUUGAACGCACCUUGCGCCCCUUGGCAUUCCGAGGGGCACGCCUGUUUGAGUGUCGUGAACUCCUCCACCCUCUACCUUUUUUCGGAAGGCAUUGGGCUGGGAUUUGGGAGCUUGCGGGUCCCUGGCCGAUCCGCUCUCCUUGAAUACAUUAGCGAAGCCCUUGCGGCCUUGGUGUGAUAGUCAUCUACACCUCGGCUUAGCGAAAAUAACGGGAGUUGCUUCCAACCGUCUCGCAAGAGACAAUUCAUUACCAACUUGACCUCAAAUC